GGCGGCGGCGGGCGGCGGAGCGCGGGGGCUGGUUCUCGGUCCCCGGGAGAAGCCAAGAAGCCUGCCAGAGCCGAGGUAGCUGCCCUGCCAAGAGCUAUCCUGGGAGAGCUAUUGAAAGAGCCUUGAAGCAGAUGGGCCUGGAGCUUCCCCACCUUCUGGUUUGCACUAGGUUGUGUGCUAAUAUGGCGAUGCGACCAGGGGACUUUGCACCUGCCAAGCAUGGCCGAGAACAUCCAUCUCCCUUGGACAUGUGAAUGCAAAGAAAGCAAGUGCUGUAAUCUGAAAUCCAGGCCAUUGUUUAAUGGCAGAAGGAAGACCCCAAAGAAAGGAGCUUUUUCCCACCCCAAACACUCGCUCCUUUGGUCUUGAAUUUGACCGUGUUCUUUUAUGGAAAACAACAACAAAACAAAACAAAAACACACAAAACUUUUUUUCUGAAUAGCUCAAAGUCAAGGUUUGCUGUUUGUUAUUUCCUUAAAAAAAGUCAAGAAAGAAAAGAAAAUUGGGUCCCUAGCCUGAAUGUUCUCCUAUGUGCCUAUUUAAUGAUUAAUAACACCUUGUGGGCUAUUGUUUGAUGUGGCCUCUGCUGGUUUGAACAGGAGAAUACUGAUUCACUCUCAAGGCAUUUAUGAAUCACAAGUGUUUACCCUGAGACAAUAAAUGAAAGGGGGAGAUUGAAAAAAAAACACCCAAAUAUGCUGAGUUCUUUGAGCAAAAACUGGAGGUAAUAGUCUUUGAUACCCUGUGUGGGGCCCACUGUUUUCUUUCACAGAAUAAAGAUCGUGGAGAAUGAC